rnacentral:lncRNA from 1 species
UUUUUUUUUUUUUUAAGUAGGCUCCAUGCCCAGCAUGGAACCCACUGUAGGGCUUGAACUCCUGACACUGAGAACGAGACUGGGCUGAGAUCAAGAGUCCUGAGCUUAACCAACUGAGACAUUCAGGUGCCCCUGGAAAAAAUAAAUCUUAACCUCUACCUCACACUUAUAUAUGUAAAAGCCAAUUCCAGAUAGACUAUAUACCUGUUAGAUUAUUCUGUUUCUUUCCACGACUCUGACCAUAAAGAUGCUUUAUAAAAACAUAUACAUACAUAUAUACAUACACACAAAUACAUAUAUAUGUAUAUAUAUAAAUAUAUACAUAUAUAUUUAUUAUGAGGGAAAGACGUGGGGAGAAAAUAAUAUCAUAGAAAUAAUACUAUACUAGCAGACAAAACACCAAGGAAGUGGUAAGAUCCACUGAAGGAAUCUCCCUGUGUACAAAACAAAAAGUAAGAGAGCUCUACAAUAGAAGAGGAAAGACAAUUAGAAGAUAAAUCCAGGAAACAUACUCCCCAAUAGUAGUUCACUUAUUCACUCAUUUAACAAAUAUUCAUUGCAUAGAGUACCUACUUUGUAAAGACAGUGUCCUAGGCACUCAGGAUGAAACAAUAUACAAAAGAGACAAAAAUCCCAUAAAGCAAGAAGGGAAACACAAGGGGAAAGACAAUGAGAUUUUCCCGGGACAAAGAUCCAGUCCAGUGCCACAAUGCCACAUCAAGGCCUACUAAUGCAAAGUUUUAAAACAUCAAAGAGAACUAUCUAAAAGUAGUCAUAUUUUUGUAAAUCAAAUACAAGAAUUUAAAAACAAAUACAAGAAUGAGAAUACAUUUUAUUUCACAGGAGAAUCACUGGGGCUGUAAGGCAACAGGCAAGACUGAAAUUUCUGAAGGAAAAUGAUUUUCAGCCAAGAAUUUCAUACCUAGACAAGUGUGCAAGUAAAAUAAAGGCAUUUUCAAAGAUCUGAAGUGCAUAAAAGCUUCCUUCUUACAGAUGCAUUCUCAGGAAACUCCCAGAGGGUAUGCACCAACAAAUAAGGAUUGAAAUAAGCAACAGAGAGACAGCAAAGGAGGCUGGCAAAGGAAGGAGGCAGAAUGGUGGUGAUGUGCAUCCCACGAUGGGAGCUCUAGAGAAGGCCCAUGGAGCAACCAGCUCAGAUUGAAGCCCAGAUCACAGAGGAACAUCUCCAAGGGAAAGAAAAGAAGAAAUGAUUUUAAAAAGAAAAAAAUGGGAAAUGAUAAGCCAACUGGUAUGUUUGGCCAUUUUAAGCUCAACUUCAUGCAUUUUAGUGAUAAGCUAAUAACAGGUAAAAAGUAAACCAAGCAGAACAGAAACUUGUGAAGAAAAGAAAUUUCCUCAUGGGAUACAGUAUGCACCAGCUAGAAACAAUGAACAGUCAUAAAACGUAAGCACCAUGUUCUGAUUCAACCAAAAGUUAUAAAAUUGGGAUGAUGAAUGGAGGGAAGAGGAAAAUGUAAAUGGUCCAUAUGGGAAGAGAUUGGGAAAGGGCACAGGAAUCAAUUAAGAGAGUUAUAUCCUCAUCAUGCAAUACUUCUGAAAGGCAGAAGGAAGAAGUGAAUUGGUCAGGGAUGCCAAGACUGGAGGCAUAACAAAAUGGUAGGUGUUUUAUGAACCUCGACUUAAAAGAAGAAAGCAAACCAUGCCUGGUGUUUCUCCUCUUCUAAACUAGCAAAGGAGGCAGCUAGGUAAGCACAUUUCUCCCCUUGAUUAACAGGAAUCCCAGCAAUGACACCAUGUAAGCACAGCACUGUCAGAAAGGGGGUUCAGUUAAGAACCUCACUGAUAAUAAGUGGCGGGAAACAGCAUUCCUCUUCCCUGCCAGGUCUGAGUGCCCCUUCUUCCACUCAGUCAUCAAGCAGCCCAGAACAGAAAAGCACCUUCUGCACUUUUAGGAGGCAGCAAUAGGAAUCAGUGAAAGGCCCAGAGGCACCAGAUUUUUUUUUUUUUAAAGGCAUUUCAGCACAACAAAGGCUCUAAAAAUUAAAGUGUCAUUGGAACCACCAACAAAAGUAGACCACGACCCAAGUGCUGAACCUAAACAUGGUAACUAUCAGUUAAAAUAAAAGGUAUAAGUAGGAACUAACACUUGACAGCCAAAAUAUCCAAGAUACAAUUAAAAAUCAUAAAUCAUACCCAAAACCAGGAAAAUCACAAAUUAAAUGAGAAAAUAUUAUCAAUCAAUGCCAACACUCUAACACACGUUAGAAUUUUCUGAUAAAAAUUGUAUUUAUUUUUAUUUUUUUAAUAUGGUUGAUACGAAAUUACAUUAGUUUCAGGUGUACAACUUGAAUAGUUAGUGAUUCAACUUUUCCAUACAUUCUGCUGUGCUCCCUACAAGCAUUGCUAUACAACACUAUUAAAAUACACUGACUAUAUUCCCUAUGUUGUGCCUUUUAUUACCAUGACUUACUCAUUCCAUACUGGAAGCAUAUACCGUCCACUCCUCUUCACCUAUUUUAUUUAUUCUCCCAUCCGUCUUCCUCCUGGCACCCACCACUUUGUUUUCCAUAUUUAUAGGUCUAAUUCUUGCUUUUUGUUUAUUUGUUUUGUUUUAUUAAAUUCCACAUAUAAGUAAAAUUGUAUGGCAUUCUCAGUCUAUGUCACUUAGCAUAAUAUCCUGUAGGUCCAUCCAUGUUGUCACAAACAAGAACUCAUCCUUUUUGUGGCCAAGUAAUAUUCCAUCGUGUAUGUGGUGUGUAUGUGCAGCAUAUCUUCCUUUAUGCCUUUGUCUAUUGCUAGACACUUGGGUUACUCCCAUAUCUUGGCUUUUUUAGGUAAUGCUGCAAUAAUCAUAGGAUGCAUUUAUCUUUCUGAAUUAGUCUUUUCAUUUGGUGGUGGGGUAAACAUUCUAUAGUGUGAUUAUUGGAUCAUAUGGUGCUUCAAUUUUUAAUUUUUUGAGGAACCUCCAUAUUGUUUUCCACAGUGCCUGACAAGAAUUCUAAAGUAGCCAUCAUAAAGACACAUCACCAAGCAAUUACAAAUUCUCUUGAAAAACAUGAAAAAAAAAAAAGGAAAAGAUAAUCUCCAAAAAAUAAAAUAAAAUAGAAGUCAUAAAAAAGAAACCAAAUAAAAGUUAUAGAAUUGAAAAAUACAGUAAGAGAAAUUAAAGAAGAAACUUCCUGGAACCAUUCAAUUGGGAAAACAUAGAUAAGAGGAUUGAAGACUGAACCACAGAACUUACUGAUCAGAACUACACAGAGAAAAUACAUAGCCUCUGACUUCCAGCACAGUAACAAAAGUUCUAAAAUUUGUAUCAUUGGAGUCCCAGAGAGAAGAAGUUAGUGGGCUGAAAGAAUAUUUUGAGGAAAUAGUAUUUCCCAAAUUCAGCAAUAGACAUAAAUCUACAGAUUCAAGAAAAUUAAUAAAUCCUAAACAUAAUAAACCCCAAAAAAAUCCACACCAAAGCAAAUUAAUGAAAACUAAAGAAAAAAAAACCUGAAAUCAGUGCGAGAUUAACAACAUCUUACUUAUAGAGGAAUAACAAUUCAAAUGACAGAUUUCUCAAGCAAAAACUGUGGAGGCCAGAAGGAAGUGACAUAUUCUUCAAGUGCUGAAAGAACAGAACUGUCAACCAUAACUUCUAUAUCAAUAAAAUCUUCCUUGAAGAAUGAAGAGGGAAUAAAAACAUUCUGAGACAAAGAAAAACUAAAAGAAUUUAUGACUAGCAAACUUCCCUUAAAGAAUGUCAAUCCUUCCCCCACUUACUGAUCUAUUAGUUUAGCAUGAUUUCUCUCAUAAUCAAAGUACAAAUAUACACACUGUAGACAUAGACAAGAUUUCUCAAAAAUUCCUAUGCAAAGGUAAAAAACCUAGAAUAGUUACAAUAAUUUUGACAGAGAAGAACAAAGUGAAAAGAAUCACUCUGCCCAAUAUUAGGGCCUACAGUCUAUAUUAAUCAGGAUUAUGUGGUACUGGCAGACAGAUAUAUAGAUGGACGGAACAGAACAGAGAACCAUGAAAAACGCACAUGCAAAUAUGCUCGACUUUGUUUUUCAAACAUGUUAAAACAAUUCAGUGCAGUAAUAGCCUUUUCAACACAUGGAGCUGGAGCACUUGGAUAUACAUGGGCGGACGGGGUGGGAGUGGGGAGGACCUCAACCUAAAUCUCCAAUCUUAUGCAAGAAUCAUCUCAAAGUAGAUCACAGAUUUAAACAUAAAGCUUAAAACUCUGAAAAAAAAAAAGUUUUUUUCAUUGGAGAAAAUCUUCAGGAACUAAUUAAUGGUAGGCAACAAGUUUUUAGACUUGACUCUUAAAAGCACAAUCCAUAAAAGAAAAAUUGAUAAACUGGACUUCAUCAGAAUUGAAAACCUUGGCUUUCUGAAGAUCUUGUUAGGAGGAUGAAAAAAUCCCCAGACUUUGAGAAAAUGUUUUCAAACUACAUAUCCAACAAAGAACAAGUGUCUAAAUAUAUAGAGAACUCUCAAAACAACAACAAAAAAAUCCAACUAUAUAAUAGGCAAACAAUAUGAACAGACAUCAAAAGAUGUUCAAAUCAACAGCCAUUAGGGCAAUGUUAAACCACAACAAGCUAUCAUUAUAUACCUACAAGAACGUCUAAACUCGAAAAUGAUGAUAAUACCCAAUACUGACAAGCAUGCAGAGAAACUGUAUCAUUCAUAUACACUGUUGGUAGAAUAUUAAAAUUAUAUAGCCACUCUGAAAAAUAGUUUGACAUUUUCUUAUAAAACUGAGCAUGCAAUUAUUCUACAACCCAGCAACUGCAUACCUGGACAUUUAUCCCAGAGAAACCUACACAUAAUGUUCACAGCAGCUUUACUGGCAAUAGUCAAAAACUAUUGACUGGAAAUAAACUAUUGAAAAUAAACAAGAUGUCCCUCGAUAGCCAAAUAGUUGCACAAACUGGUUGCACAAACUGUGGUAGAUGGAGAUAGUGGAAUCCUCUUCAGCAGUAAGAAGGAAUGGAACUACUGAUAAAUAGAACAAGUUAGAUGAUAACCAAAGAAAUUAUGCUGAGUGAAAAAGCAAAUCCUAAAAAGUUACAUACUAUGACAUUUUUGAAAUGACAAAUUAGAGGAAUGGAAAACAAACUUGUCAUUGCCACAGAUUAGGGACUGGGGCGGGGAGGGGUGGUUAUGAAAACACCACAGGAGGGAUCCUUAUAGGAAGAGAGCUAUUUUGGAUCUUGACUGUGGAAAUACGAACCUACAUCUGUGAUAACACUUCAUGGAAUUUAAUGCACAUGCAUACAUAUACACACGAGUACAAAUAAAUCUGGGGAGACCUGAAAAAUUUAAAUGCAUUAUUAACAAAAAUUAAAGUUCAUUUUUAAAGGGAUAACUUCAAAGAAAAACAUGUAAUAUUGAAAUGAAUGAUAAAGAUGAAACUCCAGAAACUGAGUUAGUUUUUAUGAUCUGACUAUAUCGAUUUUGUCUUGGAACUUGAUUUCCUUUUCUCUAUAUUGUAUUUAUGUAUUAUGUAUUAUGAGGCACUGCAUAGAGCCCCAAAAAUGUUGUAGAAUAAGACAUGUAUAAAUAAAUUGCCAACCAAUCUUGUGUCGAGGUUUAUGUAAGAAAGACAAAAACAGUUAUUUACCAUGAAUAGUAAAUAAAUUAUAAUGAAAAACUUAGCAUUUUAAUGAAAACGACAAAGUUCUCCAUAUUAAAAAAAAAACAACACAUAACCUAUACUUUCUAAAAUUUCCCUACUUUUCUCCUCUCCCACCAUACAGCCAUGCUUUGUAACAAAAUGGAGUAAUGAACAAGAUUACUUUAUAGACCUAGACUAACCCAGGUCAAUAGUUAAUCCAAACAAACCUGAAUUACAGUUCCAGAAGAACUAAAGAACACUACUGUCUCUCAGUCCAGUAAAAAAUGCUGCCCAAGUGUCAACUUGAGAUGCUAGGUGUCAUCUCACACUGGCUGCAUGUCAAAGAGUGCAAACAGGUAGCCCCUCCUUCUACACGAACAUAUGUCCAGUGUAGAAAGGUGAGCACCUGCAUCAGAAUAACCCAGGUGCUUGUCAAAAAUGCACAUUCCUCCAUCUGAAGCCACCAGAUCAGUUUCCUGUGGCUGCCAUAACAAAAUACAAACUGGGUGCUUAAGACAAUAGAAAUUUACUCUUUCAGGUUUCUGGAGGCCAGAAUUCUGAAGCCAAGGUGAUGGCAAGGCUGCCCCACUCUGGGGGCUCUGAGAAAAAGUUUGUUCCUUGCCUCUUCCAGCUUCCGUCACUUGCCAGCAUUCCUUUACAUGUGGCUACAUCACUCCAGUCUCUGCCUUCAUGGCCAUAAUGCUUCCUUCCUCUUCAGUCUGUCUUCUCUGUGUGUCUCUAAUGACAUUUGUAGUGACAUUCAGAGCCCACCCAGAUAAUCCAAGAUAAUUUCCUCAUCUGCAGAUCCUGGAUUUAAUCACAUCUGCAAAGACUCCUUUUCCAAAUAUGGGAAUAUUCACAGAUCUGGGGAUGUGAUGUUGAAUAUUCGGGAGUGGGAGGGGGUCACUUUUCAGCCUACCACAGUUACCCAAUCAGGACCUCUGGUUGUAGGGACCACAGCCAAAGUCAAGUUUCAGAGCACUUGUCAUAAGCACUGGGAAAGGCGUCUGCUGCAGUAUCAAGGCAUUUGCCCUACUCAGGCACUGGUAUAGGGAUGUCAUAUUAGAGACAUGGGGGUCUAAGUUCUGCUAUGGUUCCAGAUAUCCAUGGCAGGAUGAGGACAGUGGGACUGUGGCUGCAGGGUCAAUUCUAUCAUGGUGUCAGAAUGGAGGUAAGGCAGCAAUGCAUAGCAUUAAAAAUUACAAAAAAAAAAAAAAAAAAAAGGUGGUCACACGUGAUUUUCUGAUGGUUGAUUAAGGUGGAAGGUUAACUGACAUCAUUAGGGACUUCCCAAUGGAAUAUGCUCUGAAGUGUGGGGGGGAAUCAGAAAACAAAAAGGGGGGGAGGGCUAUCUCAGCAGCAAGAGGGAUCUGAUUAUUAAAAAAUCUUGUAAGACUUUUAGAAAGAAUAAACAAUGAGGUUACUAAUAGGGUGGAGGUGGAAGGAAGAUAAAUUCCCAAAGUCACAUAACUAUGUAUAUCUCUUCGAAUUCUAAAUGUCACCAUAUACAGGACAUCACUGUAGGAAAUUUUUCUAUAAUAUAACAUAGCACACUGGAAAAAGCUUUUCAUUUUUUUAAAUGUUUGCAAGACUGCAUUAUGAUGUUAGUCAUGAAGCAAGUAAACACAAAAUUAAGAGUUUUCUUAAUGUAACAUGUUAGUAGUAAAGAUUUUUAGUAAAUGUACUUUCAAAAUAACUUUCUUGCCUUUUAUUUUCCAUACAGCAACCACAAGAUUAACUUUAUUCCAAUGAUGCUUACAGGCAAGAAUAUCCCAAGGAUUCAAAAUGAAUAAAUCCAUGCUAUUAAUGUGUGGUACAUCACUUCAAACCUGUCAAUUUCCAGUAUCAAUCACCUGCUUCUAGAAAGCAAAAGAAAGAAACCAGACCCUCAGUAAAAGCAACAUAUGGCCAGCAUCUAAGAAUCUCAGAUAUCCGUAUCAUCCCAGAAUCCUUAAAAAAAAAAGUACUCUCGUUCUGAAAAGUUUAGAUGAAAUGCUACCAUUCUAAAAAAAAAAAAAAAAAA